rnacentral:misc_RNA from 1 species
AAGUCGUAACAAGGUUUCCGUAGGUGAACCUGCGGAAGGAUCAUUACCGAGAUAGGGUCUUCUGGGCCCGAACCUCCCACCCUUGUAUACUUAUCUUUGUUGCUUUGGCGGGCCGCGGGGUCCCCGGACCCCCCGUCGACCACGGUGGACGAGCGCCCGUCAGAGACCCAUAAACCCGUUAAAUCAGUGAUGUCCGAGUAUGAUGUAAUCGUUAAAA